rnacentral:rRNA from 4 species
GCCGAACUCAGAAGUGAAACGCCGUAGCGCCGAUGGUAGUGUGGGGUCUCCCCAUGCGAGAGUAGGGAACUGCCAGGCA